GGAGUCGGUCAGGCAGCCGCUGCCCGUCCGGGGAGGAUUCCGGCGGGGGGAGGAAAGUCCGGGCUUCGCAGGGCAGGAUGCCGGCUAACGGCCGGGCGCUAUAAGCCUUCAACGGCCCAAGGCGACGGAAAGUGCAACAGAGAACAGACCGCCGAUGGCCCUGAACAAGGGAUCAGGCAAGGGUGAAACGGUGGAGUAAGCGCCCACCGCAGGACUGGCAACAGGACUGGCAUGGCAAACCCCAUCCGAAGCAAGACCAAAUAGGGAAGCAAAUGGCGUGGCCCGCGCCGCUUCCGGGUCGGUCGCUUGAGCCGGGCAGCAAUGCCCGGCCUAGAGGAAUGGCUGCCAGGAGGGAAAUCCCUCCGACAGAACCCGGCUUAUCGACCGGCUCCCAAA
rnacentral:RNase_P_RNA from 1 species